UUCACCUCAUCCAAAGAUGAGUGAAAUUCUUGGAAGAACCAAGGGCAAGUAUUGGCGCAAGAAAUGAAAGUUGAUCACAUUUGACGAUGUUCAAAAAUCAAAAUGGGAAAUCAAGUUUGUACCACGAUUUUAAAAUCAAGGAAAAAAUUAUUAUCAUUGUUGAUUUAUAUGGCUGAAAAUUCUUAUCAUUGUUAACAACUUGCAGGGCUCGAACAUCUCGUUUGUUUAGCCGAAUUAGGAGAGCAGCACAACGUUGGCUCCAGCAAUAACUUCACUGGUUGAACACGAAGAAAACACGGUUCAACCAGACUGAGGGGAGAGUAGCUGAUGAGGAGUAAAAUAUGCAUCAGCGUUGUGCAAUAUAAGGGCCGAAUUAUUUAUACCUAUUAUUAUAGUGUUAUAAUUAUUAUUGCCAUUUUCGAUAUUCGGUGCAGAGUUGACUAAUACAGGACUAAUCUGAUGAAACAUCGAGGUUCGAAUAUUCUUUCAAAUGAAAAAGAACUCAGUUUGGGCCAGCCUUGGUUCCCAACUUCAACAACUCAGCAACUGGCACCGUCUGUGGGAAAUCGAGUUAAAGCGUGAGUUUCAAUCUUACGUUCUUCCCGAUUUUUCAAAUUUCCAGAAUUUGUCCUCUAUCGCUCUUUCGAGGAGAAACCAUGUAAAACUUUCCUUGAUGUAUGACUAAAGUUUUCGAUGGACGGACUUCUUUGACUUUUGUUUUAUAACGGUAGAACCUACUAAUAGUAGGCAUGCAACAACUUCUUUCUAUCAUCCCUUUCUUCCAUUAAGAAAUAACAACAAAUAUUUUAAUUCUAAAAUCAUAACCACAUCUUGAUAAUUUGAUAUUGAAGAUAACAAACAAUGAACAAAGGAAGGGGAGACAAACAAAGGAUAACGAUGGAGGCAAACAAAAGAUAACUAUGAGUAGUAGUCCUAUCUUUUUACAGAUUAUCAUCACAAUUCUUAUCAACAGCGCAGAACUUAUAUAAAUUCCAUUUCCAGAUAUUUCAGAAUACAAUUACACAAACCAAAUUGCAGGCCGGUGAAGUUCAAAGCAAACCUGAAGAAACUGACGAGCGGUAUCUAUUACAAGAAACCUGCAGAAUGGAGCUCUCAAGAAAUAGUGCGAGUGUGUGCGUGAAUGGAGAAGAAGAUUGGGAUGAAAUGGAAAUUUGGAUUGAAACUUGCUGACUACUUCUUUUAUUUUGUUAAACUUAUUUUUCUUGUUUUAUCUGAAGCUUCUCUUUUGCUUCUCCUU
rnacentral:lncRNA from 1 species